CGGUUUUGAACUCCUGACCUCAGGUGAUCCACCCACCUCAGCCUCCCACAGUGCUGGAGUUACAGGCGUGAGCCACCGCGACCGGCCCAUCAAUGUAUUCUUUCAUUAGGGACGGCGUUCAGCCUUACUGGAGAGCACUGGGAGAAUCGAAUGCUUGUGACCGCAGUUUUCCCAAGAUUUCAUAGAAGUGGUCUGGAGGCUCUUCAAGGAGAACUACGAACCACUGCUCAAGGAAAUAAGAGAGGACACAAACAAAUGGAAAAACAUUCCAUGCUCAUGGAUAGAAAGAAUCAAUACCGUGAAAAUGGCCAUACUGCCCAAAGUAAUUUAUAUUCAAUGCUAUCGUCAUCAAGAUAUCACUGGCUUUCUUCACAGAAUUGGAAAAAAACUACUUUCAACUU